rnacentral:rRNA from 1 species
GACGAACGCUGGCGGCGUGCUUAACACAUGCAAGUCGAACGAAGUGGCGAACGGGUGAGUAACGCGUAAUCAACCUGCCCUUCAGGGGGGGACAACAGUUGGAAACGAAUGCUAAUACCGCAUACGGAUGGGGGGGUAUGUGAGUGAUUGGCUAGUUGGGGGGGUAACGGCCCACCAAGGCGAUGAUCAGUAGCCGGUCUGGGGGGAUGGACGGGCACAUUGGGACUUGGACACGGGCCAGACUCCUACGGGAGGCAGCAGUGGGGAAUCUUCCGACAUGGAGGAAAGGCUGGCGGAGCAACGCCGCGGGGGUGAUGACGGCCUUCGGGUUGUAAAGCUCUGUUAAUCGGGACGCGGUACCGGAAUAGAAAGCAACGGCUAACUACGUGCCAGCCGCCGCGGUAAUUC